AAAGUACUCCCUCCAUCCCAAAAUUCUUGUCUUAGAUUUGUCUAGGUACGGAUGUAUCAAGUCACAUUUUAGUAUUAGAUACAUCCGUAUCUAGACAAAUCUAAGACAAGAAAUUUGGGACAGAGGAAGUAGUUG
rnacentral:pre_miRNA from 1 species